AGGUCCUCAGUGUACCAUUCUCCAGGUGAUCAGAUAUUGGCAGACAGGGGGUUUACACUCCAGGAUGACUUUGCCCUCCUCGGUGUCGAGCUGCUAACACCAUCGUUCACGAAAGGGAGGAAGCAGUUACCUGGGAGAGAGGUGGAAAUGUCUCGUAGGAAGUCAAACAUCCGGAUUCAUAUUGAGCGGGUGAUUGGUGUGCUGAAAGGUCGCUUUCACAUCCUUAAACAAGCUACAGGUAGUCCAAAAUGCAGCGACUAGAGUCCUUACCAGGUCAAGUAAAUAUGAUCAUAUUACCCCAAUACUACAGUCUCUGCACUGGCUACCUAUUAAUUCCGUAUCAGUUACAAAAUAUUAUUACUUACUUAUAAGGCCCUUAAUGGCUUAGCUCCUGCGUAC
rnacentral:lncRNA from 1 species